GUUAGACAUUCCCACGGCC
rnacentral:misc_RNA from 1 species